rnacentral:rRNA from 1 species
CAGUAGCCGCGGUAAUACGUAGGUGGCAAGCGUUGUCCGGAAUUAUUGGGCGUAAAGGGCUCGCAGGCGGUUUCUUAAGUCUGAUGUGAAAGCCCCCGGCUCAACCGGGGAGGGUCAUUGGAAACUGGGAAACUUGAGUGCAGAAGAGGAGAGUGGAAUUCCACGCGUAGCGGUGAAAUGCGUAGAGAUGUGGAGGAACACCAGUGGCGAAGGCGACUCUCUGGUCUGUAACUGACGCUGAGGAGCGAAAGCGUGGGGAGCGAACAGGAUUAGAUACCCCGGUAGUCCCUGUCUCUUAUAA